ncrna:Streptococcus pneumoniae OXC141 pemK RNA
ACAAUGAUACUUCUGAACGUUCAGACUGCUAUCGUAAAAGGACAGCGGGUGAGACGCCCAUGA